GGCAUAGGGUACCCUUAUGCUUUACUAUAUAAAGGUUUUGUAAAUUUUGCAUCACUUACCUCGAUUGUCGAAGUUGCAUGAUUGAAAUUUGAAAGGAAGCUUCCCAUCAUUGUAACUUCAAUAGAGUCGGAUUGAAAUUCUAGAGUUGAAAAUAACUGCACCUUCAUGUAGUUUAAAUCCAAUGCUUGUUAAUUACCCCUAGCUAGUUUCAUAUUUAUAAUGUUUUCUUUGUUAUAGAAUAAAGUAUUUUCAUGGCUUAAAUCCUCCACAAUUAUUUUCUCAACUGUUGACAAUCCUACAGUGUAUUUGGAUAUAAAUUAUUACACAUUUCAAUGAGCCAAAAUGGAAAAACUUAUCGCUAGAUGGAAUUGAGAUGAACAAACAUUCAGUGUUUGCAAACCUAUAUUCAAAUACACUGUUACUCGAUCUGUUUGCCUAUAACUCGAUCAUGAAGAACUCGAAUUGUUUACACAAAUUGUGUUGGAGUUUUGAAUUCCUUUAUUUUCAAUUUUUUUUUUGCAGUUUUUAUGGGAGGUAGAAUUUUUGUACAUGAUCCAUUUUCUUUUCACAUUCAAUUUUUAUCUUCUAUACCGUUGAGCAACAAACAACAACUCAUGUUCUGAUCUAAGCUUAGCUUUGUGAUGGACAAAACUCUAUAAAUAAAAUUAAGUAUUCUCAAUUUUGAUCACCAAGUCUAUUCUUUUCUUUACAUAAACACACCAUCAAAUUUGAACCAGGAUCUGAAAAACUAAAAUUAUAAAGGGCUGUCAAAAAGGUCGAUAACAAUAAAUGGAGGUUGAUGAUGGCAGAGGGUGAAAAAGUGUAUUUGACUUCUUAGGGAUAGAAGAAAAGGGAUCAAGUCAAUAAGAAGGGCAAGAUUCCUACUUAGUCUGUCAUAAUGAAAGAGUCAAAGUGUUUCUUUUGCAAGAAGAAAGAGCACAUGAAGAAAAAUUGUUCAAAAUUGAAGAGCUGGCUCGACAAGAAAGGGUAUGGAAAACCUAAGGAGGCCAGUGGGAAGUGAGCAGUACAUCUAUUCAGGAGGCAAGAUGAGCUCAUAUGUGGAAGUCAUUGGGAGAUGCAAUUUAGUUUUAAGCAACGAUUUUAUUUUGUGUUUAGAAAAGAUAUUUUACGUUCCAAGUUUUUCUAAGAAUUUGAUUUAUGUAUCAAGACUUGCACCAUUGGGCUUUUCCUUUAAUUUUUUAGGUUUUGGUUUAUCUUUAAGUAAUAAAUUUGGAAUUAUUGGUUCUAGUGCAUUA